rnacentral:rRNA from 1 species
AUUGAACGCUGGCGGCAGGCCUAACACAUGCAAGUCGAGCGGCAGCGGGAAAGUAGCUUGCUACUUUUGCCGGCGAGCGGCGGACGGGUGAGUAAUGCCUGGGAAAUUGCCCAGUCGAGGGGGAUAACAGUUGGAAACGACUGCUAAUACCGCAUACGCCCUACGGGGGAAAGCAGGGGACCUUCGGCCCUUCCGCGAUUGGAUAUGCCCAGGUGGGGUUAGCUAGUUGGUGAGGUAAUGGCUCACCAAGGCGACGAUCCCUAGCUGGUCUGAGAGGAUGAUCAGCCACACUGGAACUGAGACACGGUCCAGACUCCUACGGGAGGCAGCAGUGGGGAAUAUUGCACAAUGGGGGAAACCCUGAUGCAGCCAUGCCGCGUGUGUGAAGAAGGCCUUCGGGUUGUAAAGCACUUUCAGCGAGGAGGAAAGGUUGAUGCCUAAUACGUAUCAACUGUGACGUUACUCGCAGAAGAAGCACCGGCUAACUCCGUGCCAGCCGCCGCCGUAA